AUAUCAGUCAUGCAUAGCAUAUCAAUAAGCGGAGGAAAAGAAACUAACAAGGAUUCCCUUAGUAACGGCGAGUGAAGCGGGAAGAGCUCAAAUUUGAAAUCUUCAAGGUUUUACCUUGACGAAUUGUAGUUUAAAGAAGUGUUUUCUGUUGAAGUUUUGGUAAAAGUUCUUUGGAAUAGGACAUCAUAGAGGGUGAGAAUCCCGUAUUUGACCAUUACUUUCAGCUUUGUGAUACACUUUCAAAGAGUCGGAUUGUUUGGGAAUGCAGUCCAAAAUGGGUGGUAAAUUUCAUCUAAAGCUAAAUAUUGGCGAGAGACCGAUAGCGAACAAGUACCGUGAGGGAAAGAUGAAAAGAACUUUGAAAAGAGAGUUAAACAGUACGUGAAAUUGUCAAAAGGGAAGCGUUUGACACCAGUGUUGUUUUCUCGAAAAUCAAUUAAAAAGAGUUGGAUUUUGUGUUGUAUUGACUUUAUCGGCUUUCUUCACUCUUUUCCAGCUUUUUUUAAUGCACUUUUCGUUUAACAAGUCAACAUCAGUUUCUUUUGUUGUAAAAAGGUCAUUGGAAGGUGGCUUUCUCUUCGGAGAAAGUGUUUAUAGCCUUUGACUCAUGCAAUCGGAGAGACUGAGGUCUGCAGCGUAGAUCCUUCGGGGUUAGAUACAUUUGUGCUAAGUUAUAGCCUUUUCAUAGACAACUUGUUGACUAUGUUUAGUCUUGUAGCUUACUCGCUUAUGCUAUUUUACCUACGCUUAGGAUGUUGAACUCUAUCACACACA
rnacentral:rRNA from 1 species